CGGGAUGAGCUCAAAUUUGAAAGCUGACCCCCCGGUCCGCAUUGUAAUCUCGAGAUGUGUUUUCCGUGCUAGACCAUGGACAAGUUCCUUGGAAUUGGAUGUCAUAGAGGGUGAGAACCCCGUACCUGCCAUGGACGCCUAGUGCUUUGUGAUACACGUUCGAA
rnacentral:rRNA from 1 species